CAAACUGUUGGUCAAUCUGCAAGUGUACAGAAUCUACCCGGUUUUAAUUUAUCGAACCACAGGGAAUUGGAAUGUGAAUUCAGUUUAAGCCUCGAGUUCACGGUAGGAAAGCGAGUAAAAUUCAGUUUUAAGUUGAUUGAUUGUUUGGGUACUUAGUGAACAAGCUAACAAAGAUAAGUAUGUGAUAAUCAAUGGUGAGAAUGCCUUGGGUUCUUGCUUGACUAAUUCAGUUCUAAUCAACCUAUUUUAUCCACAAAGCUCUGAGUCUCUCCUUGAUGUUCUAGCGUAAUCAAUCAUCUAUCGAUGCCUCGCAUAGACAAUCCUCUCAAGCC
rnacentral:lncRNA from 1 species